rnacentral:rRNA from 1 species
AACGAACGCUGGCGGCAUGCCUAACACAUGCAAGUCGAACGAGACCUUCGGGUCUAGUGGCGCACGGGUGCGUAACGCGUGGGAACCUGCCCUUAGGUUCGGAAUAACUCCCCGAAAGGGGUGCUAAUACCGGAUAAUGUCUUCGGACCAAAGAUUUAUCGCCUUUGGAUGGGCCCGCGUUGGAUUAGCUAGUUGGUAGGGUAAAAGCCUACCAAGGCGACGAUCCAUAGCUGGUCUGAGAGGAUGAUCAGCCACACUGGGACUGAGACACGGCCCAGAAUCCUACGGGAGGGAGCAGUGGGGAAUAUUGGACAAGGGGCGAAAGCCUGAUAAAGCAAUGCCGCGUGAGUGAUGAAGGCCUUAGGGUUGUAAAGCUCUUUUACCCGGGAUGAUAAUGACAGUACCGGGAGAAUAAGCUCCGGCUAACUCCGUG